AUUGCACGCUGGCGGCAGGCCUAACACAUGCAAGUCGAGCGGAGCGGCGGACGGGUGAGUAAUGCCUAGGAAUCUGCCUGGUAGUAGGGGAUAACGUCCGGAAACGGGAGCUAAUCCCGCAUCCUAUCAGAUGAGCCUAGGUCGGAUUAGCUAGUUGGUGGGGUAAAGGCCUACCAAGGCAACGAUCCGUAACUGGUUUGAGCGGAUGAUCAGUCACACUGGAACUGAGACACGGUCCAGACUCACACGGGAGGCAGCAGUGGGGAAUAUUGGACAAUGGGCGAAAGCCUGAUCCAGCCAUGCCGCGUGUGUGAAGAAGGUCUUCGGAUUGUAAAGCACUUUAAGUGGGGAGGCGGGAACAAAAGAAUAAGCACCGGCUAACUUCGUGCCAGCAGCCGCGGUAAUAG
rnacentral:rRNA from 1 species